UACGGAGGGAGCAAGCGUUACUCGGAAUUAUUGGGCGUAAAGGGUGCGUAGGCGGUGCGGUAAGUCUUCUGUGAAACCUCCGGGCUUAACUCGGAGCCUGCAGGGGAAACGGUCGAGCUCGAGUCCGGAAGAGGCGAGUGGAAUUCCUGGUGUAGCGGUGAAAUGCGCAGAUAUCAGGAGGAACACCAAUGGCGAAGGCAGCUCGCUGGGACGGUACUGACGCUGAGACGCGAAAGCGUGGGGAGCAAACAGG
rnacentral:rRNA from 1 species